rnacentral:rRNA from 1 species
CCUACGGGUGGCAGCAGUCGGGAAUAUUUCUCAAUGGGGGAAACCCUGAUGCAGCGACGCCGCGUGGAGGAUGGAAGUUUUCGGAUUGUAAACUCCUUUUGUUAGAGAAGAUAAUGACGGUAUCUAACGAAUAAGCACCGGCUAACUCCGUGCCUGCAGCCGCGGUAAUACGGAGGGUGCUAGCGUUACUCGGAAUCACUGGGCGUAAAGAGCGCGUAGGCGGGAUAGCAAGUCAGAUGUGAAAUGCUAUGGCUUAACCAUAGAACUGCAUAUGAAACUGUUAUUCUAGAGUAUGGGAGGGGUAGGUGGAAUUCUUGGUGUAGGGGUAAAAUCCGUAGAGAUCGAGAGGAAUACUCAUUGCGAAGGCGAGCUGCUAGAACAUAACUGACGCUGAUGCGCGAAAGCGUGGGGAGCAAACGGGAUUAGAUACCCGUGUAGUC